rnacentral:lncRNA from 1 species
UAUUUUUGCCACGUUCACGUGCUAGUCAAAACUAGGAAACUCUGGUUGUAGUUAUACACGUGCCGCUUUCAACCAAUUGGCAAGUCGAACAUUUUUGAUUUUCCUUGUUCCGACAAGCACAUGAAUGCGGUUAGUUUGGGUAAUUGUUUUCCUUCUACUAUGGAGCCUAUCCACCCGCUGCAGACUAGAGAACUGUUAACUCCAUUACGAGCUCAUCACUGCUCAUUGAACUUUUAUUGACUGCAUUGACAGACUGAAUGCAGUUGUGUACUACCAGUGUGAAUGUUUGCUCUCUAUCUCUGCAGUAGAGGAGCUGAGGCUAUGGCUCUGUAAGGUACUGUAUGUCAAGCAGAGUCAGUCACUCUGUAGUCACUACCAGGCUGGGGAUUAGGUCUCUCUAAGGAAAUACCAAUCCCCACGCUACUUUUGUUUUUAGUCAUCAUUAUCUCCCUAUUGCAUGACUGUACGGCCUGCUAUCCUUUCAAUCCCCCCUUGCUUGUAGAUGGUCUGAAGACUUUCAAACUGUUAUGUGAGCCUCUCAAAGCUAUCAUGUCCCGAUGAGUUGGCUGUGGAGGACCUGUGAUGGAAUUUAAGUUAUGUUUGUAUUUAAAUGCUCCUAAAGCCAUUCCUGUGCUCCUGUUCUUUGUGUGUGUACGCCAUUCGAUGGACGAAUGGUGGUGUGUACUAUACUGUAUGCAGUAGAAGAAACUACUGUGAUGACAAUACCUCAUAUUUAACAUGACACAUUGGUAUGUAUAUUGAUGUGGAAACUUCUGUGAAGAUACAGUAUGCCAGAGGAGUAGUAAGAUCCAGAGUGCAGUAUCAGGGACAAGGUGUCUGUUCAUAUCACUGUACUGUUAAUCAUCAUUAGUGAGUCUGUGUAGUGGGGUUGGAGCAUCUGGCUUUCAAAGCCAGGCAUGGAGACCCUGUUUUUAAAGGCAGGAUCGUGGUUCAACCUUCCCUUCAUGAUGAUGUGGAGACAUGGUCCGUUGAACAAACAAACAGGGAUCCUUCAGGUCUGACUUUGACAGUGAGUUUACUGGCGCAAACAUGGUAUUUUUUUUAAUCAGCUUUCAUCAUAAAACAUCGCUAUAGCCUUGAUCCUGGUGGGGUUAAGGUACCUGUCUAUGAUUCAUUUCUGCCUUUGGUGUGGAAGGCUAAACAUCAGUAGCUUACAUCAGUAAUGGCAGAUACACUGUUUAUCAGUCAUCUCUGCCGUUUCUCACUAUAUGUUUCUCCUCUACCAUCUUUUAGACCAUCCUACUAUCCAAAUAUUUUUUUCACCCUGCUGUGUUCUGUUUUACACUCCUCACUCAGAACACUACAGUCCAACAUUUCACUCUACAAUGCUCAGGUACUAGCCUGGCCCCAUACAGCGGAUGUGCUGUGGCCAACUCCUCUAUUGAUGUCAUACCAUCUUUGGUAUGAGAACAAAGAAACAGAGAGGAGUUGGUUGUAUGUAUCAACAGACUGGACCACCAGACUACCAAUGUAGCCUGCAUCACUUUUCAUUAUCAGCACUUCCGCACUCUUUUCGGAUUGCAUUUUCCCUCUAGCUAUAUGUCAUGACACUACCUCUGUUUCUAAUACGGCACUCCCCCCUAUUGUCCCUUUCUUCCCACUCUCCUACUGUCUCUGUAUGUGUCCCAGUCCCUCUGUAGUCUUGUCUUUUGUAUGUGAUAUUUGUUGUAGGACUUUUUUUAAGAUGGAGUUUAUGAAGGACUAAUUUCUUUAUUUUAUUUGUUUCUUCCUGGAUGUGUGUUUAAAUAAAGAUGCAUAGAAGAAAAAUGCAGACGCGAUGCAGUCAGAAUAAAGAUCAAAUAUGAUACUUGGUAUGUUUAGCCACUGCAUAUUUGUCUCUUAUCACUAACCCUUUAUGUUAACACCUUUUUAUUAACUUGUUUUUUUUAGCUACUAACUUGUUGAAGUGGGCAGUAGGGGGCAGCACUAAGUUAGUUUGUGGGACAAGCACAAGCAUCAGUGGUGAGCUAUGCUGUUCGUCUGUCUUAUAGAGGUUUUAAAUACUCACCAAGCUGCGAUUUUUAUAUUUCAAUACAUUGAACUUGAAAUGAAAAUGCUCAAUUUAUUUAAUGUUGAAUGAAAAUGGGUAAUUUAUCAAUUUAAAGUUUUUGUGAUUUACACAACUGAAUGCGUUUUGUAAAUGAGGACCCACAUGAGCCCUGGGUAUCAGACAGUUGUAUUGGUCAUCCACACUGAGGGUGAGGACAGACAAUCUCUGUGGACAGCCAGCCAGGCCAAAGGACCCCAGCAGCUAUGGGCUGCACAGGCUCAAGUGCUUUUGAGAUCACCCUUUUGGGAGGCAGAAAUGACUGUGGCAGAGAGAUUUCUCCCCUCUAUCUCACAAAGAGGAGGGUGUUUAAGGGUAACAAUACUAAAUUAUUCAGACAGUCAAGCAGGAGACUGCACGUGGAGGAAAACUACAACAGAAAAGGGGAUUCAAACCAGAACUAGACCAAGGACAAAGUGAGAGGGAUCCCUAAAGGGCAGGGUUGGG